rnacentral:rRNA from 1 species
GUGGGGAAUAUUGGGCAAUGGGCGAAAGCCUGACCCAGCAACGCCGCGUGAAGGAAGAAGGUUUUCGGAUCGUAAACUUCUAUCCUUGGUGAAGAUAAUGACGGUAGCCAAGAAGGAAGCCCCGGCUAACUACGUGCCAGCAGCCGCGGUAAUACGUAGGGGGCAAGCGUUGUCCGGAAUGAUUGGGCGUAAAGGGCGCGUAGGCGGCCCGGUAAGUCUGAAGUGAAAGUCCUGCUUUUAAGGUGGGAAUUGCUUUGGAUACUGUCGGGCUUGAGUGCAGGAGAGGUAAGCGGAAUUCCCGGUGUAGCGGUGAAAUGCGUAGAGAUCGGGAGGAACACCAGUGGCGAAGGCGGCUUACUGGACUGUAACUGACGCUGAGGCGCGAAAGUCUGGGGAGCAAACAGGAUUAGAAACCCGGGUAGUCC